rnacentral:rRNA from 1 species
ACACUAUCGUUAACUGAAUACAUAGGUUAACGAGGCGAACCGGGGGAACUGAAACAUCUAAGUACCCCGAGGAAAAGAAAUCAACCGAGAUUCCCCCAGUAGCGGCGAGCGAACGGGGAGCAGCCCGGAGUCUGAAUCAGCUUGUGUGUUAGUGGAACGGUCUGGAAAGUCCGACGGUACAGGGUGAUAGUCCCGUACACGAAAGCACACUUGCUGUGAACUCGAAGAGUAGGGCGGGACACGUGGUAUCCUGUCUGAAUAUGGGGGGACCAUCCUCCAAGGCUAAAUACUCCUGACUGACCGAUAGUGAACCAGUACCGUGAGGGAAAGGCGAAAAGAACCCCGGCGAGGGGAGUGAAAAAGAACCUGAAACCGUGUACGUACAAGCAGUGGGAGCACCUUCGUGGUGUGACUGCGUACCUUUUGUAUAAUGGGUCAGCGACUUAUAUUCUGUAGCAAGGUUAACCGUAUAGGGGAGCCGAAGGGAAACCGAGUCUUAACUGGGCGUUAAGUUGCAGGGUAUAGACCCGAAACCCGGUGAUCUAGCCAUGGGCAGGUUGAAGGUUGGGUAACACUAACUGGAGGACCGAACCGACUAAUGUUGAAAAAUUAGCGGAUGACCUGUGGCUGGGGGUGAAAGGCCAAUCAAACCGGGAGAUAGCUGGUUCUCCCCGAAAGCUAUUUAGGUAGCGCCUCGUGAACUCAUCUUCGGGGGUAGAGCACUGUUUCGGCUAGGGGGCCAUCCCGGCUUACCAACCCGAUGCAAACUACGAAUACCGAAGAAUGUUAUCACGGGAGACACACGGCGGGUGCUAACGUCCGUCGUGAAGAGGGAAACAACCCAGACCGCCAGCUAAGGUCCCAAAGUCAUGGUUAAGUGGGAAACGAUGUGGGAAGGCACAGACAGCCAGGAUGUUGGCUUAGAAGCAGCCAUCAUUUAAAGAAAGCGUAAUAGCUCACUGGUCGAGUCGGCCUGCGCGGAAGAUGUAACGGGGCUAAACCAUGCACCGAAGCUGCGGCAGCGACACUAUGUGUUGUUGGGUAGGGGAGCGUUCUGUAAGCCGUUGAAGGUGUGCUGUGAGGCAUGCUGGAGGUAUCAGAAGUGCGAAUGCUGACAUAAGUAACGAUAAAGCGGGUGAAAAGCCCGCUCGCCGGAAGACCAAGGGUUCCUGUCCAACGUUAAUCGGGGCAGGGUGAGUCGACCCCUAAGGCGAGGCCGAAAGGCGUAGUCGAUGGGAAACAGGUUAAUAUUCCUGUACUUGGUGUUACUGCGAAGGGGGGACGGAGAAGGCUAUGUCAGCCGGGCGACGGUUGUCCCGGUUUAAGCAUGUAGGCGGAGGUUCCAGGUAAAUCCGGUACCUUAUUAACGCUGAGGUGUGAUGACGAGGCACUACGGUGCUGAAGUGAUAAAUGCCCUGCUUCCAGGAAAAGCCUCUAAGCAUCAGGUAACACGAAAUCGUACCCCAAACCGACACAGGUGGUCAGGUAGAGAAUACCAAGGCGCUUGAGAGAACUCGGGUGAAGGAACUAGGCAAAAUGGUGCCGUAACUUCGGGAGAAGGCACGCUGAUGUGUAGGUGAAGUCCCUGCGGACGGAGCUGAAAUCAGUCGAAGAUACCAGCUGGCUGCAACUGUUUAUUAAAAACACAGCACUGUGCAAACACGAAAGUGGACGUAUACGGUGUGACGCCUGCCCGGUGCCGGAAGGUUAAUUGAUGGGGUUAGCUGUAAGGCGAAGCUCUUGAUCGAAGCCCCGGUAAACGGCGGCCGUAACUAUAACGGUCCUAAGGUAGCGAAAUUCCUUGUCGGGUAAGUUCCGACCUGCACGAAUGGCGUAAUGAUGGCCAGGCUGUCUCCACCCGAGACUCAGUGAAAUUGAACUCGCUGUGAAGAUGCAGUGUACCCGCGGCAAGACGGAAAGACCCCGUGAACCUUUACUAUAGCUUGACACUGAACACUGGUCCUUGAUGUGUAGGAUAGGUGGGAGGCUUUGAAGCGUGGACGCCAGUCUGCGUGGAGCCGUCCUUGAAAUACCACCCUUUAAUGGCUGGUGUUCUAACGUAGACCCGUAAUCCGGGUUGCGGACAGUGUCUGGUGGGUAGUUUGACUGGGGCGGUCUCCUCCCAAAGAGUAACGGAGGAGCACGAAGGUUGGCUAAUCCUGGUCGGACAUCAGGAGGUUAGUGCAAUGGCAUAAGCCAGCUUGACUGCGAGCGUGACGGCGCGAGCAGGUGCGAAAGCAGGUCAUAGUGAUCCGGUGGUUCUGAAUGGAAGGGCCAUCGCUCAACGGAUAAAAGGUACUCCGGGGAUAACAGGCUGAUACCGCCCAAGAGUUCAUAUCGACGGCGGUGUUUGGCACCUCGAUGUCGGCUCAUCACAUCCUGGGGCUGAAGUAGGUCCCAAGGGUAUGGCUGUUCGCCAUUUAAAGUGGUACGCGAGCUGGGUUUAGAACGUCGUGAGACAGUUCGGUCCCUAUCUGCCGUGGGCGCUGGAGAAUUGAGGGGGGCUGCUCCUAGUACGAGAGGACCGGAGUGGACGCAUCACUGGUGUUCGGGUUGUCAUGCCAAUGGCACUGCCCGGUAGCUAAAUGCGGAAGAGAUAAGUGCUGAAAGCAUCUAAGCACGAAACUUGCCCCGAGAUGAGUUCUCCCUGAGACUUUAAGUCUCCUGAAGGAACGUUAAAGACGAUGACGUUGAUAGGUCGGGUGUGUAAGCGCAGCGAUGCGUUGAGCUAACCGAUACUAAUGAAC